rnacentral:rRNA from 1 species
AGUGAACGCUGGCGGUAGGCCUAACACAUGCAAGUCGAACGGCAGCACAGUAAGAGCUUGCUCUUACGGGUGGCGAGUGGCGGACGGGUGAGGAAUACAUCGGAAUCUACUUUUUCGUGGGGGAUAACGUAGGGAAACUUACGCUAAUACCGCAUACGACCUACGGGUGAAAGCAUGGGAUCUUCGGACCUUGCGCGAUUGAAUGAGCCGAUGUCGGAUUAGCUAGUUGGCGGGGUAAAGGCCCACCAAGGCGACGAUCCGUAGCUGGUCUGAGAGGAUGAUCAGCCACACUGGAACGGAGACACGGUCCAGACUCCUACGGGAGGCAGCAGUGGGGAAUAUUGGACAAUGGGCGCAAGCCUGAUCCAGCCAUACCGCGUGGGUGAAGAAGGCCUUCGGGUUGUAAAGCCCUUUUGUUGGGAAAGAAAAGCAGCAGGUUAAUACCCCGCUGUUCUGACGGUACCCAAAGAAUAAGCACCGGCUAACUUCGUG